ACUCUCUAUAAUCUUCUUAAUAUAUUUCAGACAAAGCCACCCUGCGUAGUGUUAAUCCCUUGAUCUGGGAAGAGACUUCAAUGCUGGAGAUACAGAUUCGUCAAGCUAUCAAUAAAGCUAAAAAGAAUGUGAACUUUUGUGGCAACAAUGAAAUCAAGCUCUGUGUUAGAAUCCGGGAACUUCUGGCCACAUUAAGAGAAUUCCACAAAGAUUUUCGCCUCCGCAGAGCCAACUGGGUGGCAUUGUCGAUUGAGGAGAAGAACGCGUUCACCAGCCACUACAGUACCAGAGUAAAGCCUUUCUUAAGUUUAACUGAAUCACUAACAAGAGAUGU
rnacentral:sRNA from 1 species